rnacentral:rRNA from 10 species
UUGACCUCGGAUCAGGUAGGAAUACCCGCUGAACUUAAGCAUAUCAAUAAGCGGAG